GCCGAGGUGGCGAAAUAGGUAGACGCGCCAGCUUGAGGGGCUGGUGGCCGCAAGGCCGUAUGGGUUCAAGUCCCUUCCUCGGCACCA
rnacentral:tRNA from 1 species